GUGGGGAAUAUUGGACAAUGGGCGAAAGCCUGAUCCAGCAAUGCCGCGUGAGUGAUGAAGGCCUUAGGGUUGUAAAGCUCUUUUACCAGGGAUGAUAAUGACAGUACCUGGAGAAUAAGCUCCGGCUAACUCCGUGCCAGCAGCCGCGGUAAUACGGAGGGAGCUAGCGUUGUUCGGAAUUACUGGGCGUAAAGCGCACGUAGGCGGUUACUCAAGUCAGAGGUGAAAGCCCGGGGCUCAACCCCGGAACUGCCUUUGAAACUAGGUAACUGGAAUCUUGGAGAGGUCAGUGGAAUUCCGAGUGUAGAGGUGAAAUUCGUAGAUAUUCGGAAGAACACCAGUGGCGAAGGCGACUGACUGGACAAGUAUUGACGCUGAGGUGCGAAAGCGUGGGGAGCAAACAGGAUUAGAAACCCUUGUAGUCC
rnacentral:rRNA from 1 species